rnacentral:lncRNA from 1 species
GGGCGGGGUCUCCGCUGCCUCAGGGACGGGUCUUUUGAAGUGCCUGGUGUGACCCAUCUUCCGUGCUUGAAAUCGACGUAGUGGACCCUGGCUAGCAUAUUUUUCCCUGCCAAGAUUAUUGCAAAAAGACGAUGUGGUGGUUAAUAUCGGAAAGAAUGUGUGGUUAAUAUCAGGAAGAACACGUGAAAUGGAGAAUUUCAGGGCUAACAUUUCUUGUUUUGUUUCUGAAAACAUCGGCAUGUCCUAAAAAGUGUCGCCUGUGCCCAUCAUCUCUCAGGCUUGGGAGCAGGACACCGCCGGCUCACUUUAAAGCCAAGGGAAAGAAUUUGGACAACCAACUACGUCUGGAGAAGACACCAAUGUCAGCAGAGCUCCGCUUUCAUCUGUGGGCGAAGGAUUACCUAGAUGCCAAGGCAAGAGACUGAAGACACAAACUGUUUCAGUAUAACAAAGAAAAUAGGCCGGGAGCGGUGGCUCACGCCUGUAAUCCCAGCACUUUGGGAGGCCGAGGCGGGUGGAUCACGAGGUCAGGAGAUCGAGACCAUCCUGGCUAACACGCUACCUAAAAGGGAAGCGCCCCCUGUCCUAUGAUCACGUGACUUGCUUCACCUUGUCAAUCACUUGGAAGAUUCACCCUCCUUACCCUGCCCUCCUUGUCUUGUAUGCAAUAAAUAUCAGUGCGCCCAGCCAUUCGGGGCCACUACUGGUCUCCGUGUCUUGAUGGUAGUGGUCCCCCGGGCCCAGCUGUUCUCUCUUUAUCUCUUUGUCUUGUGUCUUUAUUUCUCACAAUCUCGUGUCUCCGCACACGGGGAGAAGACCUGCUAAGCCCCAUAGGGCUGUACCCUACAUUCAUCUGAAAGGGACUUGAACCCCAGGUCACCUUGGACAGCCAGCAUCCGGCCAGGGGCACCUUUUAGAAGUUGAAUAGGAUAGGAAGGGAUUGGGG